UUGUGCGGGACAGAUGUAGCUGCAGUAUGUAGUCUCCUGGCUUCCAAAACAGUAGUACUGGAGGUGACUUGGAGCAAUCCCACCAUGCUCAGUAGGAGAAGCAGCAGGAGCAGAAAGAGCAGCAGUGGAGCAUAAAUGGGGAUGGGAGGGUUGGUGCACCCUGAAGGCGCAGUUGCGCAGAGUAGAGGUGGCGGGCGCGGUGGCGGCCGCGGUGAUGGGGCGUGGUGGCGGGGCUAGGUGGUGGCUCAAGGUGGCAGCUUGCAGUGGUGGCUGCACUGGUAAGCUGAGAUAACAGCAGCGGGCUAUUUUGGUAAGCUGCGGCAGCGGGCUAUUUUGGUAAGCUGCGGCAGCGGGCUAUUUUGGUAAGCUGCGGCAGCGGGCUAUUUUGGUAAGCUGCGGCAGCGGGCUAUUUUAGUAAGCUGUGAUAGCGGUGAACUGCAUUGGUGAGCUGCAGCAAAAAUGGACUUCAGAGUGGGGAAUUCUCUAGGUGGACUCUGUUGAUGGACUCUGUUGGAGGAUUGUGUUGGCACACUGCAUUGGUGAGCUGCAGCAGAGGGCGUUGGUGAGCUCGAGCAGAGGGGCGUUGGCGCCCUGCGGCAGAGGGGCGUUAGCGCGCUGCCGCUGAGGUGCAAUGCAGUAGUGACGGAAGACUGCAGUAGCUGUAGUGGUGGAGUGUAGCUGCACUAGCAGUCAUAAAGCAGUCAUAGAGUGUGGCGGAGGAGAACCCAGCACUCGUGCCAGCCUGGAAUCAAAGACCACUACCAGAACCCUGGACAACGGAGAGUUUGGAACCAUAGCUUCAGCCUCCACCUGCAGACCUCUCCCCACCCAGGAAGCUUGGAUGGCAUGGAUGUUGGAGCACAGUAUAAAUGUGGCAGCUUCUCUCAGAAAACGUCCUCAUGAUCAUCAUUUUUAACUCCAUAAUAAUAUGCUACUCCAUUCAUGUUCUGCAAUUUUUCCAACCAUUUUCAAAUUGUGCCUAGAAGACUAUCUUGUGUAUUAAAGAUGACAGAUUGAAGUUCAUGGAAAGUAUGAAGGAAGGAAGGAAUGAAAGAACAGAGGAGCAAAAGAACUAAUAUGGGAGGAAAGGAGAAAGAAAAUGGAGGCAUCAAGGAUGAAGGAAUCAUCUUUUUUAAAGGAAAAAAAAUGUCAAUAUGCUAUAUUUAUUUUUAAUAUAAAGUAGAUAUCUCAAGAACUUUUCAUCCUUUCUGUAAUUUGUAUGCAACUCAUUCCUAGUUCCUACCUUCAACAUGCACACAAAAUUGAAUUCUGAGUUCUCAUCCUUAAUACAUUUAAAAGAUCAAUAAGACAGUAAAUCCUAGCAACUCAUUCAUGUAGAAAGCAAUCAUUGAAUGAGUUGUUGGUAACAGAAAUUAAAACUAAUAACAAAGUUAAUUGAUCAAGAAUGAACUAGGAAUGAAAAUAAAACAGAAUUUAAAAAUAGAAUUUUAAUGGUUAUGAGAAUUAUUUGUAGAAAUAUUAAAAAUCAUUUUUCAUAUACCACAAUUUACUCAACCAUUCUCCAGUUGAUGGGCAUCCAUUCAUUUUCCAGUUUCUAGUUACUACAAACAGGGCUGCCACAAACUAAAAAUCAUUUUUAAAGAUACAUUCAAAAUAUUGAGAGGACAGAUGUAAGAAUAAUGAGAAAAAUGUAUUAUGCCCCCAAAUUUGUGACCACUAGGCAAUUUUCAGCACUAGAAAGAAGGUAAAGGUGUCAUUAUGUCUUAAAAAACAGUUAUUAAUGAACAUCUCUUGAUUUCUCCAGAAACACUGAACAGGGUUCAAAAGGCAAGGAGGAACUUCAUGAAUGUUGAGUUGAAAUGAAAAUAAUUUUUAACUAUUCUUUUUUCUUUACAAAAGGACAGACACUGGCUAUCAGAUCGUGCAGGGUUUGUCCUCUACACUGACAACUUAUUCAAGAAACACACCCUCUCUCAUGUCUUAACUGUAUCAUAAAGUGAUUGGAUUACAUGACUUCAAAAGUUCUGAACAGUUCAAAAUCUUAAGUCUUAAUUCUUGAUAAUUACAACUCAUUCAUACCUCUUACAUCUCCAUUAACAAAUGAACAUGAAGAUAUCUUUUAAGUUGUCAAUAUUCCAGGAAUGAGACCUGUACUUCUUUCAUCUUUCAUAUUUGAGAACAGGUAUCCUUGUCCCAUCAGAGGAGUUCUUGUGAUGUUGGGAUGAAACAACAUGUAAAAAAGAUAUUUGUUUGACAAGAAGAAUCAACACUAACCUAUGAAAUAUAAAAAUUGGAUUCUUAUACUAAGAAUUGGUUCUUCUAUGUGAGACCUUUUCUUUCUUUUAUAAUUUUGUAUUUUCCCAUUUUAUAAUUAUGAACUUGUAGAAGUCAUUUCCCAUAUUUGAGGAAAUUGAAGGAGCCUGUCUAGUCAGUACAGUCCCAAACAAAUAAUUGUGCCACAAACUAUGAAAACCACAUUCUAUAUCAUGGUGCAUGCAAAAGAAACCCUCCUCAAAGUAAGAAAAAUACAAGUUUAAAAGCCCAAGUGCCUCUGGUUUUUACUAGCUAUGUGACUGAGCAAGCAGCUCAACCUCACUCAGUGCCCCAGUUAAAACACUCUCAAAUGUUAGUCCCAUAGAAGUUGCUUUUUUGUCUUGAUGGAGGAAACUUCUUCAAGCAUAGUUCCCUGCACCAUUGAAAUCAUGACGUUGAAUCUUUUAAUAACAUAAAUGCUAAAAUAUAUUGUUGAAUCUAACAUUUUUUUCUUUUAAAUAGUGUUUUUUUUAAUUACAUGUAAAAUCCAAACAUUCUUUUUUUUUUUCCUGAGGCAAUUGGGGUUAAGUGGCUUUGCCCAAGGUAGGAAUUAUUAAGUGUUUGAGGACAGAUUUGAAUUCAGGUCUUCCUGACUUCAGAGUCGGGACUCUAUCCACUGUACCAUCAAGCUUCCUCAAAACACUUAUUUUUUAAAUAAAAUUUUGAGUUUCAAAUUGUCUUUUUCUUCAUCAUCUUUCUUCCCUAAAAUGGUAAGCAUAUAUAGAUUGAUAGAGGUUAUUUAUGUACAAUCAUGUAAAACAUAUUUCUAUAUUAGUCAUGUUGUGAAAGAAGUAGAACAAAAGGAAAAAAAAAUUAAAAAGUGAAAAGAGUAUUCUUCCAUUUUCAUUCAGACUCCCAUCAUUCUUUCUUGGGAUGUGGAUAGUAUUUUGCAUAAUGAGUACUUCUCUUGGAUCAUUGUAUUGCUGAAAAGAACUCUCAAUCAUAACUGAUCAUUCCAUAAUAUAGCUAUUAUGGUGUACAAUGUUCUCUUCAUUCUGCUCACUUCACUGUGCAUCAACUUUGCAUCAGUUCUUUUGGUCAUCUGUUUUUUAUCCAUAUUAUAGUAGAUACCUUUUCAGGAUUUACUUUUGCAAUACCAACAACAAAAGAGACAGCCUGAGUAGUCACUGAAUUCCUUAUACAAGCUUUUGCAAUUAUGGGUGUGCCACAAGCAAUAAAAACAGAUAAUGGACCUGCCUAAACUUCUAAACAUUUUGCAUACUUUUGUGUACAGUAUCAGAUUUUAUAUACCACUGGCAUACCUUUUAAUCCUCAAGGACAGGUAAUAGUAGAAAAGAGAAACAGAGACAUCAAGAUGCUCCUCCAAAAACAAAAGAAAGGGGGAGCCACAGGUAACCCUAGAGAACUUUUAAAUUUAGCUCUUUACACUAUUAAUUUUUUGAUUUUGAUAAAGAUGCACUGACUCCAGCAGACAGAUUUUAUAAUCCACCAGAAGGGCAGUGUCCAAUGAGAGCAGCUCCACUAUCUUCAGAUAAUCGUCAAGUGAUAUGGAGACAUCCAGAAAGUGGUGAAUGAAAGGGACCAGAUAAGUUAACUGCUUGGGGAGGGGGAAGGGUUUGCUUAUAUCUCUACAGAUGGAGAAGGCAUCAGAUGGGUACCAAUGAGCCGUAUUUGCCUUGUCCAUCAGGGAGAAAUGGAGAAGACUCUUGAAACAAAGGAAAAGACCCAAGAAACAUCAGAUGGUUCCAUCUCUGACCACAUGUGCCAUUGGAAAAGCAUGAUAGUGAACAUCAAAAAUUGUUGAUGAGACUGUUGCAGGACUUCAAAAUCUGCAGGAAUCAUUGGAUUCCCUGACACAUGAAAUAAUGGACAAUAGAUUGGUUUUGGACUAUCUCUUGGCUGCUGAAGGAAGUGUAUAUGUGAUUGCUAUUUAUACACCCUCCUUCUAGGACUUAUGGACAUGUAUAAUUCCUCAUAUUGAUUCAUGUUAUUUGUUAUAUCACUACUAGCCUUUAUUAUAUUACUAUGUACUUGUGUAAUCCCUCCCAUGCUGAUGAAUUUAUGUAUACCUGUUUCAAAUAAGACCCUUCAAUCCAGAAGAAACCUGCUAACAAUAUCUGGUUUGGUGUUCUCAUCUUCCUGAGAAGUCAGGGAGGGCAUGAUCACCUCCUUUUUUUGGUGUUUUCACCUCUUUUCCUGAGAAGUCAGGGAGGGCAUGAUCACCUGUGUUCUAAAAAGAAAAUGGGAGAUAUAGAGGGCCAGAACUCUGGAGAAGCAUACUUAAAAACAAGGUGUUAAACCAAUGGAAUUGAUGAAAUAAUAGUUCUCUAGUUCACAUAUACCUAAUAUGGUAAUGAUUGCUUUAGCUUGAUAUAAUGACAUAAUCACUCUACAUUGGCUUAUACUCAGUAUACUGUAAUAAUGUAAUUGUAAUAGGGUAUUUAAGGGUUUAGAGAACUGGGGACAAAGUCAGACUCAGACUGAGACUGGUUGAGACUGGCAGCCAGACUGUUGGAGGAGACUGGGUCACACUGAGACUGAGUCAGACUAUGACAGAUAUAGACUGUGAAGGAGACAAUAACAAUUUUGGGCUCUAUUCUUGUCCAUCCUCAUGGUGACUUGUGGUGUUUUCUUCUUUAAAAUAUAAUGGUUCUCUCUGGGAGCAGGUUUCUUGGGGACAUUUUCUGGAGGCAGAUGUAGUUUCAGUUCAGAGUAAUAAUCACUCCAAAUAUAGCCAGCUGAUAAAAUCCAAACGUUUAUUUUCUCCUUCCUUGAUUCCAAGAGAUCUUGAAGCCUGUCUUUCCGAAUGUCUCCAAAUCCAAAGGUUUGUCCUUCAGCCUCCAGCCAGCACAAAGGUGGAAAAUGGAAUGAAUCUGACUUUGCCUCCAAGAGUGGGCUUGUGUAUCUCCCAGAGUGCUCUUUGGCCCUAAGAGCUUCUUGCUUAUAUGAGCUCUCUAAAGGUGUGAACACAAGCAUUGUUUCUAUCAGUUUCACUUAGUACCUUGUUUCAAAUUCUGGCCUAUAACAUCUUGUAAGAUCAGAUCAAUCAUACUGAACCAUGCUAAAUUAGAUAAUUAUUGUCUCUAUCAAUUCUAAUGACUUAACAGCUUGUAAGGAUUUUAACAGUGACUAUCCUGUUGAGACCAAGGCCUGUCUGAAGGACCUCCAGAAAGCUAUCCUGAACAUUACAUUCUGGUGCCCAAAAUGUAAUGUUCAAGCUAGCUUUCUGGAGGUCCUUCAGAUGGGCCUUGUCUAGUGAUGAAGGCAGGACAGCCAUCAAAAGGCUGGGCUAAGUUGAAAUGUCUCAUUUCCCGUCCUUUUCAGCCCUUAUAUACCUUAGCACAAUUACACAUUACAGUAUAUUGAAUAUAUAUGAACUAGAGAACCAUCAUCUCAUCAGUUCUACUGAGUUAACACCUUGUUUCAGGUAUACUUCUCCAAAGUUCUGGCCCUCUACAUCUACCUAACUUAGAAAAGAAAGCAGGUCAUCUUUUCUAGAAUGUAACUCCCCAGCAGAGAGAGAGUUUUCAAGUUUUACUCUAGAUGUGAUGAUCAGGAAAGAUAUUUAAUACUGCUCUAAGCUGUUAGUAUUUUUCCCUCUUUUGUUUUUGUGUUUUUGUUUUGUUUUCUUUUGUUUUGUUUUUAGCAAUCCUGCCUAGUCCAGAUGUAACUGGAACUCACAUUAAAAGGUUCUUUUUGUUAUUC